GAUGAACGCUGGCGGCGUGCUUAACACAUGCAAGUCGAACGGUGAAGCAGGAGCUUGCUCCUGUGGAUCAGUGGCGAACGGGUGAGUACCACGUGAGCAACCUGCCCCUGACUCUGGGAUAAGCGCUGGAAACGGCGUCUAAUACUGGAUAUGUGAUGUGACCGCAUGGUCUGCAUCUGGAAAGAAUUUCGGUUGGGGAUGGGCUCGCGGCCUAUCAGCUUGUUGGUGAGGUAAUGGCUCACCAAGGCGUCGACGGGUAGCCGGCCUGAGAGGGUGACCGGCCACACUGGGACUGAGACACGGCCCAGACUCCUACGGGAGGCAGCAGUGGGGAAUAUUGCACAAUGGGCGGAAGCCUGAUGCAGCAACGCCGCGUGAGGGAUGACGGCCUUCGGGUUGUAAACCUCUUUUAGCAGGGAAGAAGCGAAAGUGACGGUACCUGCAGAAAAAGCACCGGCUAACUACGUGCCAGCAGCCGCCGUAA
rnacentral:rRNA from 1 species